AUCCCGCUGACGAGUCCCAAAUGGGACGAAACGUGCGUCCUGGAU
rnacentral:hammerhead_ribozyme from 1 species